rnacentral:rRNA from 1 species
UACGUAGGGGGCUAGCAUUAUCCGGAUUUACUGGGCGUAAAGGGUGCGUAGGUGGUUUCUUAAGUCAGAGGUGAAAGGCUACGGCUCAACCGUAGUAAGCCUUUGAAACUGGGAAACUUGAGUGCAGGAGAGGAGAGUGGAAUUCCUAGUGUAGCGGUGAAAUGCUUAGAUAUGACGCAGAACUCCGAUUGCGAAGGCAGCUUACUGGGAUGCAACUGACGCUGAGGCACGAAAGCGUGGGUAUCAAACAGGAUUAGAUACCCGUGUA